AGCUUUCCACAGUGGCAGUAUCGUAGCCAAUGAGGUUUAUCUGAGAUGAGAUUAUCGCUAAUUGAAAACUUUCCCCAAUACCCCGCCCUUAUGACAUGCAAUUGAGUUGGCAGUGACAAUUUUUCACAGUCCCUAGGGA
ensembl:snRNA U4 U4 spliceosomal RNA